GUUUCACUGAAUUCUACUGUGAAAGGGUUCUUGCAGACUGAUCACCAUGUGAGCCCUUCCACGAGACAAGAGACGGAGGGGACAUCAAGAAGCUGUCGGCUUGUCUCCAGAGUUCAUCCGAGUGGAUAAAAUAUCCAGUUUGUUUCAAAUCAGCCUUUUUCCUUUGAAGCAUCAGCAUGUGCUUCAGUGGAAGCUUGUCCAGAGCACUGGAUCAGGAGUGGGACUCUGUAGCAAAUACCACAGGAGCAAGCUGGCUGGACAGGAGACAAAGCUCUCUGUGAGCUGAGAUGUCCAGUUGCUGUGUGUGAGCCACGAAGCCGA
rnacentral:lncRNA from 13 species